UGGUGGAGUGAUUUUGUUUGGUUGAUUCCGUUAACGAACAAGAUCUUGACCUUUCAAUGACAGUUGGAUCGACGUAAUUUAUUGUCCUGGCACUAAGGUUAGACGAUGGAUGAGAUCUAGUAUGUGUACUCAAGGGACUUUGCAUGAAUACCAAUGCGAGGAAGUGCGAGCCAAUAGCA
rnacentral:rRNA from 1 species